AUGUAGGCUGAUUUCUGUUUUUGUUUAUUUGUAGAGGUAAUACGUCCAGAGUGUACUGGCAGAGGUGUAUGGCCAGCAUUGCACCGGUUAAGCAUGUGUGGGAGUUUGAUAUGGAGCGCCAAGGUGCUGAAUGUUACUCAAUAAAGUAUUCAUGUGGCA